CCUUGUCCUUUUCCCAGCAGAGCGCAGCAUGGCAGCCUGGGCUUUUAUAUGUGCAUGUAAUCUUGUGCCCACAUGGGUAUAUACUCUUGUUUUCAGCUUUGUACUUUUAUUUUGGAUAAACCCAGUGGGCAGAGGCCCCUGUGCCCUGCUGGGCUGGCCCAGCCCUGCGGCACCCUUCCCACCCGAGGGCCGUGGCGCUCUGCCUGCCAUGGUGGCACCCAGGUCCCUCUGUGUUUCUGCUUUCUGCCACCCCUGAGAACCUCAGCUGCUUCCCCACAGGUCGCCAUCGCAGGCUAUGGCUGAAGUGAAUCCCCACAGGGCAAACCCACUUGGGCAGGGCUUCGCUGCCAGGCAGGGCUGCCCACACACCAAGCUCUUACUGAACAGCCCAGCAGUGAGUGAGAGAGGCUGUGGCACAGGCACCACAGAAGGUGCCAGGUGCUCUGAUGACCACACAUGAGGCCCAUUAUGCUGGAUUAAUUAAUGCAGAAGGUCAGUGUAGGACACUAAGUGUUGAUGGGGAGGACUCGUGAUGUCCUGGGCCCUGCCCGGGCCAGGAGAGGCUCCAAGGAGUGGCUCAUCAGGUGGCACAGAAAUGCUGAAGUGAUACACACUGACAAUUUGGACACUUUUUCAAGUUGAGAAAUUAAUCAAAACCAACAUUUUCCUGCAAAGGUUUCAUUUUCAACCAAGCAGGCCUCUUCUGAUUAAAGAAGUUGCAUAAAAAUUCUUAUUCAUCUCUGCGCAGGAGCACUGCUGUAGCUGUUGGGGACUAAGGGACAGAGGUAUUACCACCACCCACUUCAUACCCUGCACUAAGGAGAGUCCAGUUAUUGUUUUUCCAUUAAAUUGCAUAAGGACGUUUUUUGAAGGCACUUCAAUGUUUUAACUGUACUGUGCAGGAGAGAAGAGUUGAGGCAACAGGCUUAUGGCUGCCUUAUCAGGUACAGAAACUGUUCCUUUAAAAUGGAUUUAAUAAAAUGCAAAUGUUCUGGAUCUUUGCAAUUUUUUAACCUGACAAACAAGCUAUUUGCAUGAGUAGUAGGAUAUAUUGUUUAUGCCACUUUCUUCCUCUCCCUUGAAAGUUACGGAUUACUCCAUCAGCUGCCAGCUGUUAUUUGUAAUAGCCAGCUGUGUAACUACAAAGGUCCUGCAAUGAAAAAAAUUUAUAAGAAUGUUGCAUCGAUACAACAAGAUACAGAAAAGGAAAAAAAAAAUCAAUUAACUUGUCCUCAAAAUAUUAACUUCCGUAAGAUAAAUGACCCUUGACUUUCAAUGCAGGACAAAUUAAAAACUUUCCCAUAUAUAAAACAAAUUUCUAUUUUCAUCAUUAGGUCAGUAAUUAAUUUUACAGGCAAAGUAAAAGUCUGAUGCAAAUGAACACUCAAGUCUUAAAAUCAAUAACGUGUUUAAGGAAACCACAGUGACACAUACAUGGUGUGACAUUCAGUACAGCCAUUUAGUGCUAUUUGUGUCAGAUCUGUACAUUGUAUACUUGAAGGCAACAUGCCUUCAAAUGUACACUCUCUAUAUAAAUAACUACAAAAAAAAUUUAAAAUGUCUCAAAAAUUAGAUAAACAUCUGAAACUUUCAGUUAAUGUAACUCAUACUAUUUUACCACAACAUAAUUAAUUAUAUAAUACAAUUCUUCUCAGAAAUUAACUAGCAAAUGGCAUUUCUCACUACUCCCAUAUUUCAGCUCCCUGUGAGUGACCAGUAGCACAAACAAUAGCAACAAUUUCUAUUCAGCUGAGAGAAAAUUUAGAACUCAAUUGCUUUGUACACUAUUUUAGUCUCUGCAAUUGCAAGCAUCAACUGUUUUUUUUUUUUCCCCACACAGUAUCACUCCUAUAAUGUUCUUUCCAAGCAAGUGUCGUGACCUUAUAUAUACACACACAGAACAAAGUCAGUUCCCUUGGCACUUGUCCAGGAAAGGAACUACACAUUUCAGAACAUUCAGCAGGUGGAAAAUGACGUCACGUUCCCUACAAGCAUUUGCCAGCAUUAUGCUGAACCUGUAACACUAAACAGUUGGUUAAAGUAAUCAGGGAUCACUGUUUUUAACCCAGGCUUAGCCUGUCUAAUGAGAAAGAUGACAGCUAACACUCUGGAAAUAUUUUGCUGUCAUGCCAGUGACAAAAAUUCCACAACCUAUGACUCCUUUAAAGUCCUACUAAUAAUAUGUAAUGCCUCUAUUUGCCUCCUGAUAGAGUGAUAUUUAAGAACUCUAUUUUCAAAGACUUACUUAUUUUUAAAUGACCACCAGGACUGCCAUCAAUGGAAAUAUCAUAUAGGUCGAGCAAAAAACAAUUACUUGGGUAAUUAUAUGCCAAAUAGCAUUUCCAGGUUUCUUUAACAGUGGAUUAGAAAGACCUUGAGAGGACUAAGGAAGCACCAAAAUCAGCUCCAAGACAUCUAUGGUUUCUUAUCCAGAAUUCUCUUCUACAAAGUUUAGCUGGAUCAGACUCUGUUUCACCAUUUUGUAUUAACAGAUAUGACUGCAGGAUAAUUUUCUAAAAAACAGAGUAGGUACCCACAUCUAUAUUACCAUAUUCCAAAUUAUGACUACAACAUUAUUUCACAGACACAAAGGAUUAGAACAUUCAUAAUACUGCAUCUGAUUUAAAGCACUUGCAUUCAUAAAGAAAUUUGUUCCAAGAAGUUUCAGUUUAGCUUACUUGUCAUCAUAAUGCCAAGGCAAAAAAGAGUUCACAAUUUCAACCCAGAAGAAAUCACUAUCAGCUGUUUCUCUCUAACAAAUCUAAGUUUCUUAGGUACACAUUUCAAGGACAGGCUUUGUUUAAAGAGCUCCAUUUAUUUGAAAGUCUGUUUCCUGCUAACCAGCUGACAGAUCAAAGGUACUUCUCAGUCCUAACAUUUGUUCCCAUUUCCCCCUCUUCUUUAACUUACACAAAAUUUUAAAUUCAGUAUCUUUAAAAUUAGUUUUAAAAUUGAUCCUUUCAGCCUUCUCAGUCGUCUUCUCCUUUUUUUAUGUUCCACAAAGUUUUCCUGUGACACUUCUCAAAUACUGGAAUAUAUGCCACUGAAGUAUUAGUUACAUGAAAUUAAGGACAGGUAAAAGUCUCCGAUUAAAGAAUGCUAAAAUGCAAGCUUCUCAGAGCCUGAACCUUUUAAGUACUUUGUAAAAUACACACGGUUUUAUAAAUUAUUGUGCACAUAAAGUGGGACAAUUUAAUAUCUAAAAGAUGCUUUUAUAUUCAAACAUGGUACAUUGUAUGAAUUAAACAUUGUUUAAUAUACUUUCACUUUUGCAACUGCUCAACUUUUUUGCUUCCACAUAUGGGUAUUCUAUUCCUAUCAAUUCAUUAUCUCAGUGAUAUGUAAAAAGAAUAAAUUCAAAAAAGACAAAAUAAAAUAUAGUGACCUACAGUUAAAUCAGCUACAAUGCAAUAUGCUUAGAUAAACAAUGUCAGUACUUGACUUUAUACAAUGUACUCACCUGUUCUCAGUUACUAGGGAAACAAUGAUCGUAAAAUUGAUCAUAGUUUGGUUUCACAAGUUUCUAACAUUGUAACUUGAUUACAGUCCAGGAUACAGAUCAAACACCUGGAACAAUGCAGCUGAGUAAAGAGACAUGCUAGGAAUAGACUUGCUUCCACUGUGUCCAAAUUAUUUUUUAUUCACAAGUUAAACAUAAUGACCUCAAUACUUCUCUACUUGCCUUUCCCAGUUUUGAAAACAAAUGCCAGCGUGGUUUCGGACCUCUCAACAUGAGAUUCUUAGAAAUCCCCAGAAGUUACAGAUUCUUAAGCAUCUUUUCCCAGACACGUCAGCACACGGUAGGUUUAAAAAAACCAAACAAAUCAAAACCAGAAAACCCCAAACUCUUUUCCUGUUUAAUUGUUUUAUUUCCAAAUCUAUUCCUGACUUGGUGAUUCCUAGGAAAUCACUUUUCUACGCUUAAUCUCAAUCUUACCAUAUCUACAGCAGACGAGUACUAGUAACACUGACUUGUGAAAGUACACUGACCUAAACAUACGCCUGAAAGCAGCAGAAUAUGUGAUGAGGUUGGGAACACAUAUGAAGAGCCAGAGGAACCUCAACUAUUCACUAACUUUUUAAAAACCCAAAUACCUCAUCUCAGAAAUACUGAGUUUUAUGAUGAAUGAAAUCUAUUCAGUGUGUUAAGAUGUUCAGAUGGACAGAAGGUGGAAGAGAGAGAGUGAUAUAUGCACUUCUGUGGAAUGUGGGCUGUAAGUGUGGUACACAAAAUGGAAUGAAACAUGCUGAGAUCUCAAGCCUCUAAACAACCAAGCAUCUGUACAGCUUUUGCACUGAUGCUGGUUUUGCACUUAACAGUAAUUAUCCAUAUACACUCUGCAGUUUCUGGACUAAACUCCCACAUACUGGUUAGCUGUGUUUGCUACCAGCCAGCUAAACGUGAGAAAUAAUGAGAAGUAGUAUGAACUGCCUUUGCAUUUGAUUCUUACAAUAUUAGGACACAAAACCAGGUCUCCAGUUCAUCAGUGUACUGCCCACUAUCAAUUAUCAUAUAAAAAUAAUUUGCCUCCUCUCUGAGUUAAUCUCCUCUCCCCUUCAAAUUUUCAUGCCUCUGAGUAAUUUUUAGUUUAUUUCUGGUCACUGUAGAAUAUUAUAGGACCAGCAAUGUUCUCCAAUAUAACAUUCUUGAUAUGAAAGUAAAUAAAAUGCAUGUCUCUAUUUCCCCCAACUGACACAGACCUUCAAUAUGUGGGUCUUCGGGUAGGUUGUGGACCACUGUUGAUCCAAGCAAAUUACAAUAGCUCAAUUAUUCAACUAUUUCUGUUUUCUAAGACAUCAUUCAUUCAUGAAGGUUUUUAAGGUCUUCAUGGUUUUUAAUCACUUUUAGGAUUCUUCCUCCUUAAAAACCAUUACACACUUAAUGUAAGUUAGGCAAAAAUAUUGUCUGCUAUGUUCAACAGCAAUAUAACAAAGGAAAUAGAAUCUCUGGAAUGAAAUAAUGCCUGUCUUACUGUUUAGUGUUACAAGGUUUUACAUUCCAUAAUCUACAUCAAGCAGCAUAAGAGAGAAAUGAUUAGCUCUUCAAAUAAUACUGCUCUUUCACAGGGAUUUUUUACAAUCAAAGUUUUUCUCUUAUAGUGGUUUUUCUCUUACAGAGUUAAGGAAUACAAUACUUCUACCUCAGGGACAAUUUAUUUCAGUGCUAAAGAAGAAGAGGACACGCCAUUCAGCCUAUGAGAGGUACCACUAUGACUAUCUGCAUGGAACCAAACAAAUGAAUCCAGAAUCCAUGCUAAAAAUUCUGCUGGUACAAAAUACCUGAGAAUCACAUGCUAGGAAGCUGUAGUAGCCUUUCCAGUGAUGUCCACCUCUACUUUUUUUUUUGGUUCAGAAACAAGCCACAUUAACACUGAUUUGUGUCUUACAAUGAAGUUUCCUGUACGCCAAAACCACUGCUUAUAUGUCAUAUCCCCACUAAUGCAGGCUGUUCUUUACAAAGUUAACUAAGAUAAAAUUAAAACUCUGAAUAUAAAA